CCAUCAGCCUAAAAGCCAUCUCGAUAAACGUAAUUUUUAUUUAGAUAUAUUACGACUUUAACACGCUUCAAAAUCCUUUUCGCCACAACAGUACCUGUUGAACAUCAUCUUUUUUAUUUCUCCGGCCCGAAUCGAAAACGUUCGAAUACUAAAAAUCGAAUAAAUCAAAAAUAACUGAUCUCACACAAAAGUCCAUUCACAAUUAAAACCAGUUUUUUUAUUAUGAUUUUCUAAAAACCCGCAGCAUCCGCGCUUUUGGAUUCAUCUUUUGUGAGCUUUUAUGGUGAAAAGACAAAGUACGAUUUUGAUAACCGGUUUCUUUUUGUAUUUUUAAAACGCGUAUUUAGGUCAGCAACGGCCAGUAGCUGGGAUUCUGAACAGUCCUCCUUGGUCUGUGAGUCGGGAUACUCGGGAUAAACUGUGAUGUUCGAUUUAAAAAGUUAUGUUAAUUAGUUUUCUUUUUGGAGCCGCGAGGAAAAUGAGCGGUAGUUUCCGGCGGAUGUGACGUCACGCCGCCGCAGCGCCCCCUCCCGCCCAGUGGUCGCAACUAAACACUCAAGAGUUAAGAGAACGAAGCUGGCUCCCAGAAAGAAAAUGGCGAGAACUCUAAGAAGCAAGAGGACAACUAAACACCCUCCUUAAUAGUCCGUGUACCUACCUAUGUAAAUUAAUAUUGUAAAAAUAAUAAUAUAUAAGCAGUUAACACCAUGAAAUUACGUAAAUCUAUAAAUAUGUACUAUGACAUUAUGAAUUUAACAAAGUGCCUUUUAAUUAAUAAAUUAUUCCCAGUACUUAUCUAGGUUCAAAAUUAGUCCAUAUUAGUUUCAUUCUAAUUUAGUUUACAUAUUCUUAUUAGGAUAAAUAAGAUGUAGUUAGAAGAACCUAUGUCCUUAAUAAAACUUUUUAAAAUAAUAUA